rnacentral:rRNA from 1 species
AUAGGGGAGCCGCAGGGAAACCGAGUCUUAACCGGGCGUUAAGUUGCAGGGUAUAGACCCGAAACCCGGUGAUCUAGCCAUGGGCAGGUUGAAGGUUGGGUAACACUAACUGGAGGACCGAACCGACUAAUGUUGAAAAAUUAGCGGAUGACCUGUGGCUGGGGGUGAAAGGCCAAUCAAACCGGGAGAUAGCUGGUUCUCCCCGAAAGCUAUUUAGGUAGCGCCUCGUGAAUUCAUCUCCGGGGGUAGAGCACUGUUUCGGCUAGGGGGCCAUCCCGGCUUACCAACCCGAUGCAAACUGCGAAUACCGGAGAAUGUUAUCACGGGAGACACACGGCGGGUGCUAACGUCCGUCGUGAAGAGGGAAACAACCCAGACCGCCAGCUAAGGUCCCAAAGUCAUGGUUAAGUGGGAAACGAUGUGGGAAGGCCCAGACAGCCAGGAUGUUGGCUUAGAAGCAGCCAUCAUUUAAAGAAAGCGUAAUAGCUCACUGGUCGAGUCGGCCUGCGCGGAAGAUGUAACGGGGCUAAACCAUGCACCGAAGCUGCGGCAGCGACACUCAGGUGUUGUUGGGUAGGGGAGCGUUCUGUAAGCCUGCGAAGGUGGCCUGUGAGGGUUGCUGGAGGUAUCAGAAGUGCGAAUGCUGACAUAAGUAACGAUAAAGCGGGUGAAAAGCCCGCUCGCCGGAAGACCAAGGGUUCCUGUCCAACGUUAAUCGGGGCAGGGUGAGUCGACCCCUAAGGCGAGGCCGAAAGGCGUAGUCGAUGGGAAACGGGUUAAUAUUCCCGUACUUGGUGUUACUGCGAAGGGGGGACGGAGAAGGCUAUGUUGGCCGGGCGACGGUUGUCCCGGUUUAAGCGUGUAGGUGUGUGUUCCAGGUAAAUCCGGUUCACUUUAACACUGAGGCGUGAUGACGAGGCACUACGGUGCUGAAGCAACAAAUGCCCUGCUUCCAGGAAAAGCCUCUAAGCAUCAGGUAACAUCAAAUCGUACCCCAAACCGACACAGGUGGUCAGGUAGAGAAUACCAAGGCGCUUGAGAGAACUCGGGUGAAGGAACUAGGCAAAAUGGUGCCGUAACUUCGGGAGAAGGCACGCUGACAC